rnacentral:rRNA from 1 species
GUGCCAGCCGCCGCGGUAAUACCGGCGGCCCGAGUGGUGGCCGCUAUUAUUGGGCCUAAAGCGUCCGUAGCCGGGCCCGUAAGUCCCUGGCGAAAUCCCACGGCUCAACCGUGGGGCUUGCUGGGGAUACUGCGGGUCUUGGGACCGGGGGAGGCGGGGGGUACCCCUGGGGUAGGGGUGAAAUCCUAUAAUCCCAGGGGGACCGCCAGUGGCGAAGGCGCCCCGCUGGAACGGGUCCGACGGUGAGGGACGAAGGCCAGGGGAGCAAACCGGAUUAGAGACCCUGGAGUCC